GAUGAACGCUAGCGGCAGGCCUAAUACAUGCAAGUCGAGGGAGAAUGUUGGAUUCGUCUGACAUGAAACCGGCGCACGGGUGCGUAACACGUAUGCAACCUACCUUUAACUGGGGUAUAGCUCAGAGAAAUCUGAAUUAAUCCCCCAUAAGACUACGACAUGGCAUCAUGAUGUAGUUAAAGCUCCGGCGGUUAAGGAUGGGCAUGCGGUACAUUAGCUAGUUGGUGAGUUAAGGGCUCACCAAGGCUACGAUGUAUAGGGGGUCUGAGAGGAUGAUCCCCCACACUGGUACUGGGACACGGACCAGACUCCUACGGGAGGCAGCAGUAGGGAAUAUUGGUCAAUGGACGCAAGUCUGAACCAGCCAUGCCGCGUGAAGGAUGAAGGCCCUAUGGGUCGUAAACUUCUUUUAUUAGGGAAGAAAAAACGGGAUGCGUCCUGUACUGACGGUACUUAAUGAAUAAGGAUCGGCUAACUUCGUGCCAGCCGCCGCCGUAA
rnacentral:rRNA from 1 species